rnacentral:lncRNA from 1 species
CACACGUGUCCUGAGUAGAAGAGAAUCCCCCGAGUGCAUUCCUCUGCUGUGAGAGCCAUUUUACCACGGGGAGUGCAGAAGCCACAUCUCCCAGGAGUGUGUAUGUCAGAAGGGCGUAAGAUGUCAUUUCCACUUCUGCAGAAACUACUGAUUGAGAGAGACCAUCAUUAAAUCCCAUGAAGGUAUCCUCAUCAGUUACAAGACUUCCCGUCAAGCUCCAAUGUGUAAAGCCAUCUUGUGUGAUUGCCAUGCUGU